rnacentral:rRNA from 1 species
GACGAACGCUGGCGGCGUGCCUAAUACAUGCAAGUCGAACGCAGUGGGGACGGGUGAGUAACACGUGGGUAACCUCCCAUCAGAGGGGAUAACACUUGGAAACAGGUGCUAAACCGAUACUGAUGGAUGGACCCGCGGUGCAUUCGCUAGUUGGUGAGGUAACGGCGCACCAAGGCAACGAGGCAUAGCCGACCUGGGAGGGUGUUCGGCCACACGGGGACUGGGACACGGCCCAGACUCCUCCGGGAGGCAGCAGUAGGGAAUCUUCGGCAAGGGACGAAAUUCGGACCGAGAAAGGCCGCGUGAGUGAAGAAGGUUUUCGGAUCGUAAAACUCUGUGGUUAGGGAAGCGGUAUCUAACCAGAAAGCCACGGCUAACUACGUGCCAGCAGCCGCGGUAAUUC